rnacentral:piRNA from 1 species
UGCACUGAUGCAGGAGUCCGGAAA